AAUCAACGCUGGCGGCGUGCCUCAGACAUGCAAGUCGAACGCGAAAGUCUCCUUCGGGGGACAAGUAGAGUGGCGCACGGGUGAGUAACACGUAGGUAACCUACCUUCGGGUGGGGAAUAACCCCGGGAAACCGGGGCUAAUACCGCAUAAUGCAGCGGCACCUAAUGGUGACAGUUGUUAAAGCGGGGGAUCGAAAGAUCUCGCGCCUGAAGAGGAGCCUGCGGCGGAUUAGCUAGUUGGCAGGGUAACGGCCUACCAAGGCGACGAUCCGUAGCCGGCCUGAGAGGGCGGUCGGCCACACUGACACUGACAUACGGGUCAGACUCCUACGGGAGGCAGCAGUCGGGUAAUUUUGGGCAAUGGGCGAAAGCCUGACCCAGCAACGCCGCGU
rnacentral:rRNA from 1 species